GAUGAACGCUGGCGGCGUGCCUAAUACAUGCAAGUCGAGCGAACAGACGAGGAGCUUGCUCCUUCGACGUUAGCGGCGGACGGGUGAGUAACACGUAGGUAACCUACCUAUAAGACUGGGAUAACUUCGGGAAACCGGAGCUAAUACCGGAUAAUAUUUCGAACCGCAUGGUUCGAUAGUGAAAGAUGGCUUUGCUAUCACUUAUAGAUGGACCUGCGCAGUAUUAGCUAGUUGGUAAGGUAACGGCUUACCAAGGCAACGAUACGUAGCCGACCUGAGAGGGUGAUCGGGCCCACGGGAACUGAGACAAGGUCCAGACUCCUACGGGAGGGAGCAGUCGGGAAUCUUCAGCAAUGGGCGAAAGCCUGACGGAGCAACGCCGAGUGAGGGAUGAAGGUCUUCGGAUCGUAAAACUCUCUUAUUAGGGACGAACAAGCGUGUAAGUAACUGUGCACGUGUUGACGGUACCUAAUCAGAAAGCCACGGCUAACUACGUG
rnacentral:rRNA from 1 species